CUAUGUGCCAGCAGCCGCGGUAAUACAUAGGGUGCAAGCGUUGUCCGGAAUUAUUGGGCGUAAAGAGCUCGUAGGUGGUUCGUCACGUCGGAUGUGAAAAUCUGGGGCUUAACCCCAGACCUGCAUUCGAUACGGGCGAGCUAGAGUGUGGUAGGGGAGACUGGAAUUCCUGGUGUAGCGGUGAAAUGCGUAGAUAUCAGGAGGAACACCGGUGGCGAAGGCGCCUUCCUGGCCUAAGACUGACGCUGAGGUGCGAAAGCCUGGGGAGCAAACGGGAUUAGAUACCCCGGUAGUCCACGCCGUAAACGAUGAGUGCUAGGUGUCGGGGGUAUCGACCCCCCCGGUGCCGUCGCUAACGCAUUAAGCACUUCCGCCUGGGGAGUACGGCCACAAGGUUGAAACUCAAAGGAAUUGACGGGACCCCGCACAAGCCGGUGGAGCAUGUGGAUUAAUUCGUCACUAACCGAAGAACCUUACCCAGGUUUGACAUCGAGGGUAAGACCAUGAAAGUGGUACCCUCUAGCAAUAGACCCGAAGACAGGUGUUGCAUGGCUGUCGUCAGCUUCGUGUCGUGAGAUGUUGGGUAAAGUCCCGCAACCGAGCCCCAACCCUUCACCGUAUUGUUGCCAGCGUAAAGUCGGGAACUUUUACGGAACUUGCCCUGCAACCGGAAGAAGGUGGGAUGACCUCAAAUCGCAUGGCCCUUAA
rnacentral:rRNA from 1 species